AUCAAUGACAUUGGGGAUAGGGUUGGUGUAAGUUAUGCUAGGACAUUGUGGAUAGAGAUGGGGAUGGUGUAAGUUCUGCUAGGACAUUGUGGAUAGGGAUGGUGUAAGUUAUGCUAGGACAUUGACAUUGUGGAUAGGGAUGGUGUAAGUUAUGCUAGGACAUUGUGGAUAGGGAUGGUGUAAGUUAUGCUAGGACAUUGUGGAUAGGGAUGGUGUAAGUUAUGCUAGGACAUUGUGGCUAGAGAUGGGGAUGGUGUAAGUUCUGCUAGGACAUUGUGGAUAGAGAUGGGGAUGGUGUAAGUUCUGCUAGGACAUUGUGGAUAGG
ensembl:lncRNA